CCAACAGUCUUCAUGUUCUUCUUUUCUUGUGAUAGGCCUAUUCUUCUUUAAGGUAUGAAUUCACAAGUCAUUCCAGUUUGAUCCGAACGUUUUCAGACUUUAUUAACCAUUUUGCAGCACAAAGGAAAAUGCACAACUUUUCUGGGUGGACUGAUCUGAAGGGCAUGCAGGCAGUUUCACCAUCAUUGUCUGACAGAAUGCAGUGCCUGCUCCCUGCUCUCAUUCCUCUGGUUGUAUAAGAGGUGAGGAAAGUGAGAGAAAACAGCUGAGCAUGACAGAAGCCUGAGAGGGGCAAAUCAACUUAGUUCAACUAAGGGUUUGGAAAGAGUAAUGCUUGGAUAAUAUGUGAUUUAAAUAAAAUUCAAAAGACAGA